UAAAUACUAUUAUUAUACCUUACAUAUAUUUCAAACAAUUCUAUUGGGUGAAACCUUAUCACGUGACAUGGAAUAAUUCAGUUAAUUUUCAUUCAAUUGCAAGGAAGGACGAAUAACCCUAAAAAUUUACACCAGCGGUGAAUAACCCUAUUAUUCACCGGUGAAUAACCUUUUGAGUUUGUUGAUUUGUACUUGAGUUACCUCCCAUGAAAAUGACGUCACAGACGUAAAUAAACAAAAUGGCAGCGUUCGCUUUACACUGGAAGCCCAUCGAGAGACGA
rnacentral:lncRNA from 1 species